rnacentral:lncRNA from 1 species
UAUUUCAACAUUCAGACGCAUUUAAAUACACUUAACCAUAGAGCUCCUAAAUGCCCUUUCCUCACCCACAGUCAUCAACAUACUUCCCAAGACAUUGCAUGACCAGUGGCAUAAACUCCAUACUGGGCCCCUCACUCAUGAUUUGGAGAGCGUCUGUCAUAUUUUUUCACUCUCUGUUUUUUCUCACUUCUGAUGUGGAUUAAAGUCUGUGCUCACAGCUCUCUCCAAUAGUUUGAGGAUAUUUGAUCCUUGAGUAUUUAUCCAUUAUUGGCUCUGUUUACCCAAGGGAAAAUUAAGUGCAGGGCCUUAGAACAGUGAGCGCUUUAAUACACGGAUGCAUAUGCUGAUCUCUGACAGAUGUUGGUCUUUGGGAACAACAGAAGGGUAGCUACGUCAUUCGCUUGGGAAGCUGCUUGUGCAAACUGAUCCUGCAGGUGCCCAGGCAGCGUGGCGAGAGCAGCCUGCAGUGCUGAGAAAAAUGUCUGGUGCAGUGACAACUCCCGAAAUAUUACGGUUUUUCACACACAUCCCCCAGCCAGCUGGCAGAGGAUUCUGAACAGUGCCUUGAGCCUCUUGGAAACAAAGUGUCAUCUUGGUGAACAUGCCACUUUUCUAUUGCCCUGAGUCAGUAUGUGUGAGGAGCAAGCCUGCGCCACUGUCCUGAAAGGAUGCUGAGACCCAGGCCGUCUUAUUCUCCUCAGAACGCCUCACUGUAGGCCUUGGAAAUGCAAUCCUUAUGGAGCAUAUGCUCGAUUACCUUCACAGAGGAUCAAGACUGUACUCCUAUUCCCAUAUUUCAAAUGAUAAUUUUUCUUGAUUAUGUGUGAAAUACGCUUAUCUGUGGAGGCCUGGAUCAGUUAUGACUGUGCCCACAGUUCACAUCUGCAGGAGGAAACUCUUUGGGUUUUUGUGGAGUUGGAGGACUCAGAACUAACUUCAUCCAGAGAGGGCUCUGCACCACUUCUCUCAGAGACUUGGGAUGUUGGGACUGGUCCUAGAUUAUCAACACUGCUGAGGAACCAGCAGUGUACAUUCUGGCGCCGAGCUAGUCAAUAUGUGGACAGGAUACAUGGAGGGAAUGACGAGCCACUUGGCUGUGGAGAAGGCAUGAAAAGGAUGGCAACCUCAUCAUGGGUCUUCAAGCAGGGUGACACAAUUUGGUCUCCUUUUCUCUCCUCCCCCCUCAGCAGCAAAAGAGUAGAUGGGACCACAUGCCACCUCCACACCAGGCCUCUCCCACCUGAGCUGGCUUGGGGAUGAAUAAAGCUUGAAAUAGAUAUGAGGUUCAAGUUAAAAAAAAAAAAAAAGAGCAACUGGAGUACAUUUGAAGAACUAAAAGAAAACAUUUAAUAAAUUGAAGUAACUCACGAAGAUGGACUCA